rnacentral:lncRNA from 1 species
CUCUCUCCUGCACCUAAGUGCUGUCUGGCAGGGACUCCAACUUCUGAGUUCCUUAAAGUGAGACGCCCCAUGAUGGCUGUGUGAAUUUUCAGGCUCAUUUCGUGGCUCCGGUCACUGCUGCCACCAUCUUUUCCCCCAAACCUAGGUCCUUACUCUUAUCUAAUCAUGAUCUGCAGGAAACUCUCCUCCCACCAGCCCCUGCACUUGGUUCCUUGCGUUGCCUCUGGCUGGAAGCUGUUGUCCCCAACUUCAGAAAGUGUCUGCAGAUUUCACAGGCUCUCUCUUGGGUCAAGGGACCAGCUCUGUGAACACGGCAAGUAACAACAGAGAGAAAACGUGAGGAGAAAAGAGAGACCGGGAUUUUGAAAUCCUGUUUCCUGAAUGCCAUCUCACCAGGCACACGAAAGAAUAAAAUUAAGGAAUCAAGAGCCAA